rnacentral:rRNA from 1 species
GAUGAACGCUGGCGGCGUGCCUAAUACAUGCUAGUCGAGCGAACAGAUGAGGAGCUUGCUCCUCUGACGUUAGCGGCGGACGGGUGAGUAACACGUGGAUAACCUACCUAUAAGACUGGGAUAACUUCGGGAAACCGGAGCUAAUACCGGAUAAUAUAUUGAACCGCAUGGUUCAAUAGUGAAAGACGGUUUUGCUGUCACUUAUAGAUGGAUCCGCGCCGCAUUAGCUAGUCGGUAAGGUAACGGCUUACCAAGGCAACGAUGCGUAGCCGACCUGAGAGGGUGAUCGGCCACACUGGAACUGAGAAACGGUCCAGACUCCUACGGGAGGCAGCAGUAGGGAAUCUUCCGCAAUGGGCGAAAGCCUGACGGAGCAACGCCGCGUGAGUGAUGAAGGUCUUCGGAUCGUAAAACUCUGUUAUUAGGGAAGAACAAAUGUGUAAGUAACUAUGCACGUCUUGACGGUACCUAAUCAGAAAGCCACGGCUAACUACGUG